UGGGGAAUAUUGCACAAUGGGCGCAAGCCUGAUGCAGCCAUGCCGCGUGUAUGAAGAAGGCCUUCGAGUUGUAAAGUACUUUCAGCGGGGAGGAAGGGAGUAAAGUUAAUACCUUUGCUCAUUGACGUUACCCGCAGAAGAAGCACCGGCUAACUCCGUGCCAGCAGCCGCGGUAAUACGGAGGGUGCAAGCGUUAAUCGGAAUUACUGGGCGUAAAGCGCACGCAGGCGGUUUGUUAAGUCAGAUGUGAAAUCCCCGGGCUCAACCUGGGAACUGCAUCUGAUACUGGCAAGCUUGAGUCUCGUAGAGGGGGGUAGAAUUCCAGGUGUAGCGGUGAAAUGCGUAGAGAUCUGGAGGAAUACCGGUGGCGAAGGCGGCCCCCUGGACAAAGACUGACGCUCAGGUGCGAAAGCGUGGGGAGCAAACAGG
rnacentral:rRNA from 1 species